rnacentral:lncRNA from 1 species
UGAGAUUUUAGAAGAGCCGGGUGCAUCCUGACAGAAAGACACAAGCUGAGCUAAUAAGAACUGCAGCAGAUUUUGCAUGCACGUUGCAAACUGUGUCCCGAAAGGAGCAGGAUGGGGUGGAAGAGGCAGCGGCCACUGGCAGAGGAACGCAGGGCUGAGUCACGGCCGCAUCGUGCCAGCACUGCCUGCCCGCUGCCUGCAGUGCCUGGGAGAGUUCUCCGUGUUUCUCUCUCUUCCCUUUCUGCACAGGAAUCGUUACUCACUCUGCACACAAUGCCAGUUAAAGUUGCCCUGGAUAUUAUCUCUGCUGUGAUUCACUCCUUUGCACCAACUUAAUUCUCCUGAAAGACUGUUUCACUUUUUGUGACUAAUUGGAGGCUCUGUGCUUAACUGUGACUCUGAGCCUCGACAGCAGCUGAGCGACAAGGGCAUGGGAGCCACUGCUCUCAGCUGCCUGUGAUGCCAACAGGAGCAGUGAGUAAUGCUGCUGGGACACUGAGAUGUGCAGAAAAUAUGCACCUGGAUCCUCAUGGAAGGGAAAUCAGAUAUAGAGCCUCUGGGUUGUUUUCCUCCUGCUAUUCAGAAAGGGCUGGCACUGCUAUAAUGCCCUCACAUUUCAGUUUUUGCCCUGCAUUGUACAGGACAGCCCCAUUGUGGGAUCACGGAAGCUGAUUAUUUUAUAUUGGAACUAAUGGUUGUAAAUGUCUACAGGAAUCAGAAGUGAUGUGUAAAUGGUUCAUGAACAAAGAGGAGCUGUAACAGCGUGGAGGGACUGCAGAUGCUCUGUGAGCCAUUCAGUAAUGCUCCAGUUUCAAACACACAGAGCAAGCAGCUCUGCCUUCUUUCUCCAUAAAGGCAGGGUAUAGGCUGUGCUUUUCAAAAUGUGGGGCAGCACUGAUCUCUGCUCUCUGGUGGCAAUGAUGGGACCUGAGGGAAUGGCGUGGAGCUGCGUAGGGAGGUCUCAGGUUGGCUACUGGGAAAGGGCUCUUCAGAGGGAGGGCAGUAGGUGUGGAACAGGUCAGUGGUCACGGCACUGAGCUGCUGGAGCUCAGGAAGCUUUUGGACACUGCUCUCAGAUAGGGUCUGAGCUUUGGCUGGUUCUGUAUGGAGCCAGGGGUUGGACUUUGUGAUCCUUAUGGCUCCCUUUCCACUCAG